UUAAAAUGAAUUAAAAAUAACCAGAAAAGAGAAAGUUCACAAAAAAUAUCAAAUGACAAAAUAAAAAAUAUUAAAAAUCAUUUUCAGAAAUUAGAAUUAAAAAGGGAAAUAAUGCAAUUGGUCCCAUAUUUUUUGGAAUUAAAAUGAAAGAGUUAUGAAUUUUUUAAAUAAAAUGAAAUAAAAGUAAAUAAAAAGAAAUUAAAUCAGAAAAUAGAA
rnacentral:lncRNA from 1 species